rnacentral:tRNA from 1 species
GGGCCUGUGGCCAAGUGGACUAAGGCGAGGGCCCUCUAAAUUUGGGGAUAGCCCUAGAUCGUGGGUUCGAAUCCCACCAGGCCCGCCA